rnacentral:rRNA from 1 species
UACGGGGGGGGCGAGCGUUGUUCGGAAUUAUUGGGCGUAAAGGGCGCGUAGGCGGUGUGGUAAGUCUGAUGUGAAAACUCCAGGCUCAACUUGGAGAUUGCAUCAGAAACUGCCGUGCUAGAGUGUGGGGAGAGGAGAGUGGAAUUCCUGGUGUAGCGGUGAAAUGCGUAGAUAUCUGCAGGAACACCCCGUGGCGAAAGCGGCGCGCUGGACCACUACUGACGCUGAGGAACGAAAGCUAGGGGAGCAAACAGG